AAAUUUAGGUUAACUAAUAAAACCAAGGGCCUUCAAAGCCCUAAACAGUGGCCCCAACCCCCUAAUUUCUG
rnacentral:tRNA from 1 species